GACAGAGGGUGCGAACGUUGUUCGGAAUUACUGGGCGUAAAGCGCAUGUAGGCGGCAGCGCAAGUCGGGCGUGAAAUCCCACGGCUCAACCGUGGAAGUGCACUCGAAACUGCGCAGCUAGAGUCCUGGAGAGGAAGGUGGAAUGCUUGGUGUAGAGGUGAAAUUCGUAGAUAUUCGCAAGAACACCGGUGGCGAAGGCGGCUACCUGGACCGGUUCUGACGCUGAUGCGCGAAAGCGUGGGGAGCAA
rnacentral:rRNA from 1 species